rnacentral:rRNA from 1 species
CCGGCGAAUGGGUGAGUAACACGUAUGCAACUUACCUCUUAGUGGUGAAUAACUCGAUGAAAGUCGGACUAAUACACCAUACUCUCCUUAGAUCACAUGAGAAGAGGAGGAAAGAUUAAUCGCUAAGAGAUAGGCCUGCGUUCCAUUAGCUAGUUGGUAAGGUAACGGCUUACCAAGGCAACGAUGGAUAGGGGGACUGAGAGGUUGACCCCCCACAUUGACACUGAGAUACGGGUCAAACUCCUACGGGAGGCAGCAGCC